CGCGGGCUGGUCGAGGCGCACGGCGGCCGGGUCAACGCCGGCAACAUCGCCGGCGGGUGCCGGUUCGAGGUGCGCCUGCCCGCGAC
rnacentral:tRNA from 1 species